CCAAAUCUCUUUAUGAAUUUUUUAUACUGACGAAGGCGGAGUUGAAUGCUGAAUUAAAAACCCUUUGUAAACUAAAGAGCACUGGUAGUGAAUCAAACCUAACAUUGACAUUGUUGUGAAUUAUCGUCUAAAUCUUGCUAAUUCAGAAGGGAAUAACAUUAAGUACAAUGCAGACAUGUACAAAAGCAAAUUUAAUCCAUAUAUCAAACAGCUUUGCAUAGCACAUUGACCAAUCAGAGAGAGUGUGAAAUAAGUACAGGAAGAAGGGAAGAUUCAGAAUCAGAUCAAUUCCCUGAGUAUCAAUCGCACUUGCUGCGAUUUAUUCUGAGUACUUCAUCUCGCUGUGUUGGAUGAUGCAGCUUCACUGAAAUUGACAGAGAGCGGACAGAACUUAGGUGGCCAAAAUAUGUACAGGAGAUCAAAACCUAGGAAAAGAGAAAGGAUGUAGAGGCAAAUCUGAACCACCUCAAGGUCUUUCUCCUGCUGCUCCGGUGGGCGACCCUCCCUCAACCGUUGACCUCGGCCGCAUUCGAUGCUCCACCAAUCCCUGCUGCUUCUUCCAGAGGCAGAGGCGGCGCCUCUCAUGGCGCUAAGGAGGUGAGGACGCGCUGGCGCGACGAGUCAACCAGCCAACCGCCGCGGGGAGGAGGACGGUGUGCGAGCUGUCACCCUUCUCCUUCUCCCUGCUGCUUGUCCUCCUCGCCAGCCCCACCUCCUUCC
rnacentral:lncRNA from 1 species